AACUUUCUCUCAAUCUUCGUUUUUCUCCAUUAAAGCAACAUGUGUGAACUCUGAACUCUAUUUCACCAAAUUCCUACUCAGCUUUUCCUAAUCUCCUCUUUAUCAGAUAUUUUUUAUGGUAAAAGUUAUUGGGAGAAUUGCGUAAAGAAUUAGAAAUCUGGUCAACCAAACCAAACGAACAUUAAGAUCACGGAGUUGGAGCAGCCUUUGGACAGCAGCAGUAGAUCGGGAGCAGGCCUUCAGUCCAGAGACACCGAGGUAGCCUUGCUGACGUCCGCAUGCACAAAGUCUCUCUCUCUUUGUUUAGUUUGUUAUCUUUUGUACCGAAACAAACAGUUUAAAAUUUUCUUUCAGUGUAUUUAGUAAUCUUAGAAGUUCGUGAGAAUUGUGACACCAA